rnacentral:rRNA from 1 species
GACGAACGCUGGUGGCGUGCUUAACACAUGCAAGUCGAACGGGAUUUAGUAAACAGAAGCCUCGGUGGAAGAUUACUAAUGAGAGUGGCGAACGGGUGAGUAACGCGUGAGCAACCUGCCUAUGACAGUGGGAUAGCCUCGGGAAACCGGGAUUAAUACCGCAUAAAAUCGUAGAAACACAUGUUUUAACGGUCAAAGAUUUAUCGGUCAUAGAUGGGCUCGCGUCUGAUUAGCUAGUUGGUGAGAUAACAGCCCACCAAGGCGACGAUCAGUAGCCGGUCUGAGAGGAUGAACGGCCACCUUGGAGCUGAGACACGGUCCAAACUCCUACGGGAGGCAGCAGUGGGGAAUAUUGCACAAUGGGGGAAACCCUGAUGCAGCGACGCCGCGUGAACGAAGAAGGUAUUCGUAUCGUAAAGUUCUGUCCUAUGGGAAGAUAAUGACAGUACCAUAGAAGAAAGCUCCGGCUAAAUACGUG